CUCAGUAGUGCCUUUGUGUUUCUCCUGCAGGAGAACCGUCAGUGGGGCCCUUCCAGUCCCUGCACGCAGAGUAAAGAAGGUAAGUAAUUCUGAUGAAUUGGGUGAGGUGCGUACCUGACGCCGUUCGCCACGAGAUUCUGGGUCCACGGUUGGAAACACCUAAAAGGUCCACAGGUAAGUAUGCAGGUGAAUAUAUGCAAGGGCGAUGCACUGGUAUUUCACUCGGGGCGUACAGGUAAGUAUGCAGAAGGACAACUGGGUCUUUACUUUGGACGUACAGGUGAGUAUACAGGGGCAACUGGAGCUUGACUUUGGGCAUACAGGUAAGUAUACAAGGGCAAUACACUGGCUCUUAGCUUGAGGCGUACAGAGGGGUAUACAGGUAAGUAUACAAGGGCAAUACGCUGGCUCUUAGCUUGAGGCGUACAGAUGGGUAUACAGGGGCAACUGGAGCUUGACUUUAGGCAUACAGGUAAGUAUACAAGGGCAAUACGCUGGCUCUUAGCUUGAGGCGUACAGAUGGGCAUACAGGGGCAACUGGAGCUUUGCUCUGGGCAUGCAGGUAAGUAUACAAGGGCAAUACGCUGGCUCUUAGCUUGAGGCGUACAGAUGGGCAUACAGGGGCAACUGGAGCUUUGCUCUGGGCAUGCAGGUGGAUAUACAAUGACAAUACUGAAUGGAUACAACUCACAGACCCUCGAAGAGGUGGACGUCAGGCUUUAGCCCUUUUCAGCUCGGGAGUCUAGAGAAGAUGUAUAUGUCACGACAACUGUGGUCUUCUUCACCAGGGCAGACUUCCCAGACCAACACUCAACACGGUCACCUCCAACCGUGGAAACACUCCCACGACGACUCAGAGCCUCAAGCUCAGACCUGUAGGACUAGUAACAGACAGACAGAGUUCCUUCACAAAUUUACUUAGCUUCAGUGAAUAUAUGGAGAAAGACACACCACCUCUCGAAUUUGACCAAGAGUGGAUAGAAGUACAGAUUGAAGUCGCUGCACGUUGGGCCUUCCACGGCCUCAGCUGGUGCCACCACGC
ensembl:lncRNA